rnacentral:rRNA from 1 species
GACGAACGCUGGCGGCGUGCCUAACACAUGCAAGUCGAGCGAGGGACUUCGGUCCCUAGCGGCGGACGGGUGAGUAACACGUGGGUAACCUGCCUCAUAGUGGGGGAUAGCCUUCCGAAAGGAAGAUUAAUACCGCAUAUACUCUCGAUACCGCAUGGUAUUUAGAGGAAAGGAGCAAUCCGCUAUGAGAUGGACCCGCGGCGCAUUAGCUAGUUGGUGAGGUAAUGGCUCACCAAGGCGACGAUGCGUAGCCGACCUGAGAGGGUGAUCGGCCACAUUGGAACUAAGACACGGUCCAGACUCCUACGGGAGGCAGCAGUGGGGAAUAUUGCACAAUGGGCGAAAGCCUGAUGCAGCAACGCCGCGUGAGUGAUGAAGGCCUUCGGGUUGUAAAGCUCUGUCUUUUGGGACGAUAAUGACGGUACCAAAGGAGGAAGCCACGGCUAACUACGUGCCAGCAGCCGCGGUAAGAC